ACCGGACCGUACACGUAAGCGAACAUGGCUCCGUAACCUGUGGGGUGAUAUCACAGUGUUUUCAUGGUCAUCAGUUAAAAAGCUGUAAAUGUGUCCUCUCCGAAUUCGGGUCUGAUGACGGCCUCGGAAGUCUUGUAAUAAUCCAAAACCUGUCCGACUGUUACGAUGACGGCCGCCAGACCCCACGAAUAGAGCGAAUAAGCGAAAAAAGGUUUGGCCAGUUGAUUUUGACGGAUGGCCGUGUUGACGGAACUACACGGUUGCAUGGAUCUGCACAAACCAAAUAUGUCGAAGCAAACAACGUUGAGCCAGGUGUAGGUGGAAAUGUAGGAGAAAUGAAUCAGGAUGGCCAUAAUUCGGCAAGCGACAGUCGAUCGGGUUGUGCCAACCAAUUGGAGAGUGCCAAAAAUCAGGAAUGAGGGCGUAGACGGCGAAUGUGGCGACUAGGAAGAAAGACGAGAUGAACAAGAAGAUGGAAUAAAUAGGAUUUGUAUCAUCGGCUGCGACACAGACCAGAGCGCGUUGAGCGGACUACAUUACACCCAAAAGCUUGUUGAAAAUUCGGAAAAAUUAAUUCCAGGUCAACAUCAGUCUGACUUUGUGAAGAGCAUCCGUUUUUGGGGAAUACGAAUAAUAGACCGUUGGAUCUCAGGUGGUAAUCGUGUUGAUUGAGGAGCUUGUGCUUGUAGCCAUCUUUACACUGUGGAGCCACUCCGUCCCGAACGAACAUUUCUUCAGAUUUCAGGUUAAGCGAAUAGCCGGUUCGAUUGUAAAGCGUCACGUUCAACUGGCUCGAGUAAUUGAUGCAGCGCGUCGUGGAAAUAUCGAAUGCUUUGAAGGUUGGACAGCAUUUGCGGAUGCAGGUGUCUGUGCGGUUGCACGGAUCUCGGACGCAAUAGCGGGCUAUCAACUGUCCGGAAGGAAAGGAUUCUUGGAUGCAAAAGUCUCCAGAUUGCCUUUUGGGCAGCGUUUGAGGCGAUGCGUCAUUUGAAAACUCUUUGAUUCAACGCGGACGGGAGUGGGUUCAGCACUCCUCUCCACAGAAUAAACGGGCGGGGCCGCGGACAUUUUCGAAUGGGUUACGGAGCCUUUCCAAUCGCGGCAGACGUCCAAUUCCACCAUGUACUGCAGAUUCUUGGUGAUUCAAACAGCAUUUCGUCAAAGGCGUCUUGGAGUAGACGGCCAAUACUGAGCUGGAUAAUACCAACACCCAGCACACGCAACCAAAGAAAUAUUGGACACUUACCAUUUAUGAUUUCAGCCUUAGGAAAGGAGGGAUUUUUAUUUUUCCCCGAACGAUUUGGAUAACUUGACGUGAUUCACUAGUCGACAGUUUUGAGCGUCGCAACUCACUGCCGUGUCACUUUCGAUAACGGUAAUUUGGUGCAUACGAGUGAAUUAUCCCUUUCAAGAAACCGCAACCUCCGUCGUUCCGUUUUGUUUCGACACUCACUCGGAAGUGACCCACUCUGAUUUCGUUAUCCUCUAUACAUCAUAAGCCACAAUCCCCUAAAAGGAAUACGUCACGGACUGAGGGGGUUGACCGACCACUUUUAAGUAAUCGAAACGAUAAAGUUUAAUCUGAAAAUAACGGAAAUUUUUAUUUUUGUAGCAAAUUUGAGUAGUUUCAAAGUUUUUUGUAAACCCAAUGUAUUCUUUGUCUCAACGUAUUUAAUGCGAUUUAAUAUAUUAUCAGACGGAAAA